rnacentral:tRNA from 1 species
GCCGAAAUAGCUCAGUUGGGAGAGCGUUAGACUGAAGAUCUAAAGAUCUGUGGUUCAAUCCUGGGUUUCGGCA